rnacentral:tRNA from 1 species
UUAGUUAAAACCAAAAUAGAGGUAAUUUUUUGUUAAAAAAUGAAAUGAUAAUAAUCUGACUAAA